rnacentral:tRNA from 1 species
GGAGAGGUGCCAGAGUGGUUGAAUGGACCGGUUUCGAAAACCGGCAGAGCUCGUAAGGGUUCUCGGGAGUUCGAAUCUCCCCCUCUCCG